rfam:Enterococcus mundtii QT 25 plasmid pQY182 DNA, complete genome.
GUGAACUCUUAAAUCGAUGGAUGAAAUGAAGGAUUAACAACCUAAAGCAUCCAACCUAAUACUCCGACAUGCGGCAUGAAUGUGUGAAAUCAUGCGGUAUGAAGCUCGGUGAAGACGACUGACAGUUACCGUAGUACCAUAUAAUAUGGUAACCGAAAGAUCACUCCGUGACUGUAACGAAUAGGUCGGGGCUCUAUAAA